rnacentral:lncRNA from 1 species
GCGCCAGGGCGAGAGGAGCGGCGCCCCGCGGCUUCCUCGCGGUCUUGAGUGGAAAGAGGACCGACGUCCUUCCGCUCGCUGGGCUGGAGAAGUGUGGCGUGGAGAAGACGCGCUCCAUCGUAAGCUGAGAGAAGAACCCACCAAUUGGACAGUAACACCGAGAUUCUCCAAGUGGGGGGAAAUAAAAGUAAGCCCACCUUAUAACCUGUUUAAAACAUACAUGCUUUGAAGUGCCAGAUGGAUGAAAAGUAAAAGAUGAAUGGGUAAAUACACCAUAAGGCCAUUACUAAUUUUUUUUAAAAGGUGAUUCAGCUUUCUUUCUUUUCUCUCUCUCUCUCUCUCUCUCUCUCUCUCUCUCUCUCUCUCUCUCUCUCUCUCUUUUUGUUUUUUUUUUUAAGCCCACCUUAUAACCUGUUUAAAACAUACAUGCUUUGAAGUGCCAGAUGGAUGAAAAGUAAAAGAUGAAUGGGUAAAUACACCAUAAGGCCAUUACUAAUUUUUUUUAAAAGGUGAUUCAGCUUUCUUUCUUUUCUCUCUCUCUCUCUCUCUCUCUCUCUCUCUCUCUCUCUCUCUCUCUCUUUCUUUCUUUCUUUGGUUUUUUGAGACAGGGUCUCACUGUGUAGUUGAAGACUGACCUGGAACUCACUAUGUAGCCCAGGCUGGUCUCACUCACAGCGAUCCUCCUGAGUGCUGGGAUUACAGGCGUGUGCCACCAUGGGGCUUUCUUAAUGUGCAUUCAAGACAGGACAUAUUAGCAGGCC